GCAGGACUGUGUUUUAUACCUGAGAUAAUGUGAAUAAUGGGCCCAUGGAGCCGGAAAAUUAGUAUAUUGAUGGGAAUUCUGAGCGUAAAUGGAUUCAGGAGCGUGACGCGAGCGAACUCAAAAGAUCGUUUUAAGCCUUAACAGGCCAUACUCGAUGUGUUUUAAUGGAGGUAUCAUGGUGAUGACUAUGAUUAUGAUGACGAUGAGGAUGAUGAGGAUGAUUCUGAUGGUGAUGGAUGAUGAGGAUGAUGCACAGUAAUGAACAGGAUGACAGCGCAUUUCAAGUGCAGUUGACACUGUAGAAAGCGACUGGCCGGCUGUGUCACUCGUAACUCAUCUGGAUAUGGGAUGAAGAUCAAAUGAAAUGGAGGAGAAGGAAGGUAAUCCGGAUUGCGUAGCAGAGUUGUCACGGUUACCAUUGAUCGAUAUGGCUUGUUUUACAUAUCAGCUAAUGUAUCAGAUUCCUGCUUGUCUUUUUUACUG
rnacentral:sRNA from 1 species